UACACCCAGCCGGGGACACUCCCUUUGGAAAAAAAAAAAGAGCUCUUUAUGCAAAAACAACCCUCUGGAUGGCAUGGGGUGAAUAUAAAUACUUCUUGACUGCCAGUGUGUUUAUAACUUUGCAGCGAGUCAAAAACUGAGGCUCCAACUCCAGAGAACACAGCCUCAUCACUGCUUUAAACAUCUCUCGGCCGCCUUUGGCGAGGGAACUGGGCAGUUCCAGACAGUCCCGAAGCUCCCAAGGCACAGGUCUCUUCCCAGUUGGACUCUCCUUACCCCGGGGAGGCAGUGCAGCCCGCUGCAAGCCCCACAGUGAAGAACGUCUGAGCUCAAAUCCAGAGAAGUGACAUAAGUGCCCCACUUUGCAAAACCACAGAGAUGGCCUGUCCUUGGAAGUUUCUGUUCAAGGCCAAAUUCCACCAGGAUGUAAAGACGGAGGGAAAAGACAUCAAUAACAAUGUGGGCAAAAUCCCCUGUGCCACCUCCAGGUGAGUGUUCCCCGGGGGCGCCUCCUGCUUGUCUCCUUGGGCACCCAUGCCCUGUUGGUGCCAGUGACUCAGAAUUCCUCUCUCUGCUCCUCUCUCACUUGAGAUCUGAUCUCGUUUCUUCUUGGAAGUCCCUGUUAGAAUUAAAUGAAGUCACUGAUGAUUGGGGAUCUUGCUGUGACUGAGGACAGUAUGUGGAGGAGGAAGGGACAUGGCACGGGGCUGGCCCCGAAGGAGCUUGGAAUCUCUGGGGGAGGAAUAUGGGAAGGAGCUUGACCUGAGAAUGGGAGGCAGUAGAGCCUGGUGGUGGGAACCAGAGAGGGGGCCUGGGGGUGGGGGAUCGGCAUCCUGGCCUGCGUCCAUUCCACUUCACCUCUUGAUGGAUGCUUUGAAUAUCAUCCCAGUGAAGGGUAUCAGGAUGUUAGACAAACUAGUUCCAAGUCCUGUGCUGGUGGCACUGGCUGCCCGGUGCUGCCUCUCGCUGGCUGUGUGACUUGGGGCAAGUUAACCUCUCUGAACCUUAGUGCUCACCUGCGGUAUGAGGAGCCCAAGGGGGCACUCCUCACGGUGUGCUGAGGAUGAAAUGAGAUCCGCAGCGCUCAGCACCAUGCCUGCACAGAGCAGCGCUCAGUCCACACCGGGGUUCAUAGCCAUCUACUGAGUACCUGCCCUUACCAGAGCUACACGGGCCACUUUACGUACUUUGCAUCUCAACUGAUCUCUGCGGCGGCUCUGUGAAGUUUGUGUGAUUGACUCUUUUCACAUAUGAGGAAAUAGAAACUCUGAUACAUUUAUGACUUUCCCCAGCUUGAAUGACCAGUAAUUACAGAGUUGGAAUUGGAGUCCAGAGUUGGAUUCUUCAUGUCCCUCCUCCCCAGGACUGUCCCUCCUCCCAGGGCAGAACCGAGAGAAUGAGUCAGUCAAUGAAGGAGUCAGGGUACAGGCUUGAGACUUGCUCAGGUGGAAAGACAAGGCAAU